GUUGUUGGUUUGAUUUUUCCUGCGACAGACUGUCUACCUGUCCAGGGUGAACCCGCCUCUCGCCCGGAACGUCAGCCGGAGAUAGGCAGCAGCACCCCUCCAGACCCCUCUAAGAGACAAGGGUGUACAGAAAAUGGAUGGAUGGAUGGAUGG